CCUACGGGUGGCAGCAGUGGGGAAUAUUGCACAAUGGGGGAAACCCUGAUGCAGCGACGCCGCGUGAGUGAAGAAGUAUCUCCGUAUGUAAAGCUCUAUCAGCCGGGAAGAAAAUGACGGUACUUGAUUACGAAGACCCGGCUAACUACGUGCAAGCAGCCGUGGCACUACGUAGGGGGCAAGCGUUAUCCGGAUUUAGUGGGUGUAAAGGGGGCGUAGACGGCAGCACAAGUCUGGAGUGAAAUGCCGGGGCUUAACCCCGGAACUGCUUUGGAAACCGUGCAGCUGGAGUGCAGGAGAGGUAAGUGGAAUUCCUGGUGUAGCGGUGAAAUGCGUAGAUAUUAGGAGAAACACCAGUGGCGAAGGCGGCUUACUGGACUGUAACUGACGUUGAGGCUCGAAAGCGUGGGGAGCAAACAGGAUUAGAUACCCCAGUAGUC
rnacentral:rRNA from 1 species